CAUAAAUUUACAGUGUAGUGUGUAGUUUGUAUUGAUGAUGCAACGGAACUUAUGCACAUGUGAGUUUUUCACAAAAAUAAUAUAUCAGGUUUUGAUAACAAAUUAACGACCAAAUGGGGAAAAUAAGACGCCGAGAGAAAUAUCACACAGUCUCAAAAUUGACACAAAGCUUGAUCUCCCAUGCAGCAGGGCUUUGCAUGUAAAGAUUGAAUCUGCCGACCACAGCAACUACAACUAAAUUUGCUGGGAUGGCUCCGGUGUCGAUGGCCAAUGUACCCUCUGAUUGGUAGUGCCUUCCGGACCUUUUCUUGAAAUAAAUACAGUUCACAUGCCAUGGCUGCACAUGUUUAGAUUAUUACAAUGGAGUAAGUGUAGUGUCGCGAUUGAUGAAAAUAUGAUGAAUUUGGCUUAGUGCUCUUGAACAGUAUUGGGCCCAAUUCAAGUACCCACUAAAUUUAAAAACUUCGAUUAAAACGUUGGACAAAUUUCUCGCGGCGAACUUGGGAAAUGUUACUAUCGGCACUUAAGUUUAUGUUUAAGUGCGGCAUGCCGCAGUG